rnacentral:lncRNA from 1 species
UUGGCUGCCUCCAUGUCUCACUGUGGUUUUAUAUCCCCUGGCUUUUUGGCAGAAACAAAACUUUUAGAUUUGUCCUCAACUGAAAAUGUUUCAGCUGUGUGUGCAGGCGUCUUCAUGCUAUAGAAGAAGGAAUGGAACUGUGAAUGGUGGGAAAGGCUGAAGGAAGUAAUGGAGACCACGAUGCAGAAGUAGGUGCUCUUGCAAAGCAGUCCCGGGACAGAUAAAGGAAGCAAAGGCAGAGAACCCCAACGCCUUGGACACCUGCGGCUCCAGGUCAGAGAUGCACCUGCUAGUCCUGCCUCUACAGGACCCAACCCAUCAGUUCCUAGCUUGUCCUUCUGGUGAGAAUUGAGCACACUAUACUGUGGACAUAAAGACAAAAACCAGCAAGAAACUGAGCUCGGCUCCCUGGCUCACAUAGACAUGGAACAGAGAUCACAUCUGUGAGUGGAGGAGCCAGACUUUUCAUAUAAGCACAUGUAAAACUUUUGAAGUUGGCUGAUCCAAGAAUAGAUUCAAAUUCUUCAGCCAAGAGUCUAGACCAACUGACUUUUUCCACUUCAUUGCCUAGUUGACCCUUUGGGCCCGGAGCUCACGCACGCAGUUGAAGAUGUCCACCACCCCUUCAUUCUCGGCCAUGUCAAGCAUGGUGUCAAUGGCAAUGAAGCAGCCAGUCCGCCCAGCCCCAGCACUGGAAGAGAGCAAAUGGGUUGACGGAUGGAAGCAAAGAAGGAGAGGAGAGAGAACAGAGGGGAGAUGAAUGACAGGACAGAAACGAGAGUCCUCUGAGCUGUCCCCAAGACAGAGAGUGGUUGGUGGAGCACCACGUUCAAAGGCCGGCAUCUGGCUCCACCUGCAGCUGUUUUCGCAGGAUCGUGAAGCAAGAGUGUCAUGAAACUGGAGCAGCUGACCGUCCGGAGACCCUUGUCAGGGAUCAAGUUUCUUGAUACAUACUUACUUGAUUUCUGGUCACUAGUGGCUUCUUUAGGAGAAUCUCAGACCAAGUAUAAAAUGGUAGGGGAACUCAACGAGACUCUAUGGGCCUUGGCCAGCCCUUUCUAGAUCAGUGCUGGGCUCUGAAACAUCAGUGCUGACCAAGAGGCACGUAAGACAUGUGCCUUACACAUGUGCAGUUUUGGAUGGGAAGGCCGGGCAGCCUGUCAAGGAGGCCCCCUUCCGCUGCGUUUUCACAUCUUGCCUUUCUCAUGGAAACAAGUGUCUUUGUCUAACAAUGUAGAUGUCAAAAGACACACAAAGAGGAAGAGAGAUGGAACAAGACAAAAAAGCAAUAUUGGCUCAUGGUAAAUCCAAGGGGCACAGGCCAGUGCGGACCACUACCUACAACAAUUUGGAAAGUACACCCAUUGGAAGCAGAGUCUUCAUUCAUGAGAAACUUUCAUGGUUUGAAUGAAGUCUGACUUAAGUUUGCUUCAGAACCUACUCCCCAAAAUCCAGAUGCGGGGACUCAAGAGACUUGGCCUCUGUGUCUGGGAGGGAGUAUAGGGGGGGUCACUCGUGUUUUUUUCUUCAAUGUUCAUAUUCACCAUGCUUUAGUAUAAAGAAUCAGCCCAAUUUGGUUCCAAAUUUUGGAACAACUAUCAAUCAAUCAGCGGUGACCAAGUUGCCUAGUGUCCGUUUGUUUGUUAGCUUCAGAUUUCUGAUGCUUUUAACAUACCUCCCUGCAGGGUCCUUGUGAGGACAAAGCUGUGUUUAUUUCAUUUCAGCAUCACAUAGUAAUUGAACACAGGAUAUUUGAAAAGACCCCCUAGGAUUAAAUCCUGGCUCUAUUACUUAUUAGCUGCAUGACCUCGGGCAAAUGACUUAACCUCUCUGGGUUUCAAUACUCAUCUAUAAAAUGAUGUUGAUAAUAAUUAAAAUACUCACUCAUCUAUAAAAUGAUGUUGAUAAUAAUUAAUAGAUCCACCUCACAGCAUUAAUAGCACAAUAUGUAUAAAUUGGAUGAAA